CGUGGCCCUGCUCUUCUCCAUCCUGCUGUGCCUCCCGGCACAGGCCAAGGCACUCCUGGAAGGAACCCAAGAUGAUCUCCAGGAGGUGGAUGUAGUCAAUGUCGACAUCCUGAAGACACCUCAGCCUGCUCUGUGUAAAAAGCUGGAGGCUCUUCUGCGGGUGAAGCGCCUGGCUGCCUCUCUGGAUGCCUAGGAUUGCAAGUUGUGGGGACAACCGUGUCCUUUUCCCUACUAGUGGAAUGAGGAGAUGAUCAUCCCUGGAGGAAUCCCCUGAACCCUUUGAGCCCAGGGCCAUUUGCCCCUGACUAAUCAAUACACCCUUUUGGCAAAGCUA